AUUGAACGCUGGCGGCAUGCUUUACACAUGCAAGUCGAACGGCAGCGCGGGCUUCGGCCUGGCGGCGAGUGGCGAACGGGUGAGUAAUACAUCGGAACGUGCCCAGUAGCGGGGGAUAGCUCGGCGAAAGCCGGAUUAAUACCGCAUACGACCUGAGGGUGAAAGCGGGGGGUCUUCGGACCGCGCGCCUUUGGAGCGGCCGAUUGGAGAUUAGCUAGUUGGGGGGGUAAAGGCCUACCAAGGCGGCGAUCGUUAUCUGGUCUGAGAGCCAGACCAGCCACACUGGGACUGAGACACGGCCCAGACUCCUACGGGGGGCAGCGGUGGGGAAUUUUGGGCGAUGGGGGAGAGCCUGAUCCAGCAAUGCCGGCUGUGGGAUGACGGCCUUCGGGUGGUAAAGCGCUUUUGGCGGGAACGAAAAGGACUGUGCCAAUACCACGGUUCGAUGACGGUACCCGCAGAAUAAGCACCGGCUAACUACGUG
rnacentral:rRNA from 1 species